rnacentral:ncRNA from 1 species
AAUCACUAGGGGUGUUUUUAAAAACUGAGAUGAGGUUAUCCUCAAACCCUUUGAACCUGAACUAGUUCAUACUAGCGUAGGAAAGUGUAUGAU